GAUGAACGCUGGCGGCGUGCCUAAUACAUGCAAGUCGAGCGAACGGACGAGAAGCUUGCUUUUCUGAUGUUAGCGGCGGACGGGUGAGUAACGCGUGGAUAACCUACCUAUAAGACUGGGAUAACUUCGGGAAACCGGAGCUAAUACCGGAUAAUAUUUUGAACCGCAUGGUUCAAAAGUGAAAGACGGUCUUGCUGUCACUUAUAGAUGGAUCCGCGCUGCAUUAGCUAGUUGGUAAGGUAACGGCUUACCAAGGCAACGAUGCAUAGCCGACCUGAGAGGGUGAUCGGCCACACUGGAACUGAGACACGGUCCAGACUCCUACGGGAGGCAGCAGUAGGGAAUCUUCCGCAAUGGGCGAAAGCCUGACGGAGCAACGCCGCGUGAGUGAUGAAGGUCUUCGGAUCGUAAAACUCUGUUAUUAGGGAAGAACAUAUGUGUAAGUAACUGUGCACAUCUUGACGGUACCUAAUCAGAAAGCCACGGCUAACUACGUGCCAGCAGCCGCGGUAAUACGUAGGUGGCAAGCGUUAUCCGGAAUUAUUGGGCGUAAAGCGCGCGUAGGCGGUUUUUUAAGUCUGAUGUGAAAGCCCACGGCUCAACCGUGGAGGGUCAUUGGAAACUGGAAAACUUGAGUGCGGAAGAGGAAAGUGGAAUUCCAUGUGUAGCGGUGAAAUGCGCAGAGAUGUGGAGGAACACCAGUGGCGAAGGCGACUUUCUGGUCUGUAACUGACGCUGAUGUGCGAAAGCGUGGGGAUCAAACAGGAUUAGAUACCCUGGUAGUCCACGCCGUAAACGAUGAGUGCUAAGUGUUAGGGGGUUUCCGCCCCUUAGUGCUGCAGCUAACGCAUUAAGCACUCCGCCUGGGGAGUACGACCGCAAGGUUGAAACUCAAAGGAAUUGACGGGGGCCCGCACAAGCGGUGGAGCAUGUGGUUUAAUUCGAAGCAACGCGAAGAACCUUACCAAAUCUUGACAUCCUUUGACAACUCUAGAGAUAGAGCCUUCCCCUUCGGGGGACAAAGUGACAGGUGGUGCAUGGUUGUCGUCAGCUCGUGUCGUGAGAUGUUGGGUUAAGUCCCGCAACGAGCGCAACCCUUAAGCUUAGUUGCCAUCAUUAAGUUGGGCACUCUAAGUUGACUGCCGGUGACAAACCGGAGGAAGGUGGGGAUGACGUCAAAUCAUCAUGCCCCUUAUGAUUUGGGCUACACACGUGCUACAAUGGACAAUACAAAGGGCAGCGAAACCGCGAGGUCAAGCAAAUCCCAUAAAGUUGUUCUCAGUUCGGAUUGUAGUCUGCAACUCGACUACAUGAAGCUGGAAUCGCUAGUAAUCGUAGAUCAGCAUGCUACGGUGAAUACGUUCCCGGGUCU
rnacentral:rRNA from 1 species